GAAAUGCGAUAAGUAAUGUGAAUUGCAGAAUUCAGUGAAUCAUCGAAUCUUUGAACGCAUAUUGCACCUUCUGGUAUUCUGGGAGGUAUGCCUGUUCGAGCGUCAUUGCGACCAACAAGCUUUAAGCUUGGUGUUGGAUGUCACUAUUUUAGGUGCAUCUUAAAGUCAAGGAGCACGACUCCCAGCUUCCAAGCGCAGUAAUUUAAUCUCGCUUCUGGAGCCUGGAUGAUGUUCUGCUGAACUGUUAAAUUAUCAUGUUUGACCUCGGAUCAGGUAGGGAUACCCGCUGAACUUAA
rnacentral:misc_RNA from 1 species